rnacentral:rRNA from 1 species
GAUGAACGCUGGCGGCGUGCCUAACACAUGCAAGUCGAACGAAGCGAUUUUGCGGAAGUUUUCGGAUGGAAGUAAGAUUGACUGAGUGGCGGACGGGUGAGUAACGCGUGGGUAACCUGCCUCACACUGGGGGACAACAGUUAGAAAUGACUGCUAAUACCGCAUAAGCGCACAGUACCGCAUGGUACGGUGUAGAAAAACUCCGGUGGUGUAGAGAUGGACCCGCGUCUGAUUAGAUAGUUGGUGGGGUAACGCCUACCAAGUCGACGAUCAGUA